AGUGAACGCUGGCGGUAGGCCUAACACAUGCAAGUCGAACGGCAGCACAGUAAGAGCUUGCUCUUACGGGUGGCGAGUGGCGGACGGGUGAGGAAUACAUCGGAAUCUACUUUUUCGUGGGGGAUAACGUAGGGAAACUUACGCUAAUACCGCAUACGACCUACGGGUGAAAGCAGGGGAUCUUCGGACCUUGCGCGAUUGAACGAGCCGAUGUCGGAUUAGCUAGUUGGCGGGGUAAAGGCCCACCAAGGCGACGAUCCGUAGCUGGUCUGAGAGGAUGAUCAGCCACACUGGAACUGAGACACGGUCCAGACUCCUACGGGAGGCAGCAGUGGGGAAUAUUGGACAAUGGGCGCAAGCCUGAUCCAGCCAUACCGCGUGGGUGAAGAAGGCCUUCGGGUUGUAAAGCCCUUUUGCUGGGAAAGAAAAGCAGCAGGUUAAUACCCCGCUGUUCUGACGGUACCCAAAGAAUAAGCACCGGCUAACUUCGUG
rnacentral:rRNA from 1 species